rnacentral:rRNA from 1 species
CACGUAGGCGGAUCUUUAAGUCAGGGGUGAAAUCCCAAGGCUCAACCUUGGAACUGCCUUUGAUACUGGGGAUCUCGAGUCCGGAAGAGGUGAGUGGAACUGCGAGUGUAGAGGUGAAAUUCGUAGAUAUUCGCAAGAACACCAGUGGCGAAGGCGGCUCACUGGUCCGGCACUGACGCUGAGGUGCGAAAGCGUGGGGAGCAAACA